CCUACGGGGGGCAGCAGUAAGGAAUAUUGGUCAAUGGACGGAAGUCUGAACCAGCCAUCCCGCGUGCAGGAAGAAGGUCCUAUGGAUUGUAAACUGCUUUUAGCAGAGACGAAACGCCUUCAUUUAUGGGGGUUUGACGGUAUCUGCGGAAUAAGCACCGGCUAACUCCGUGCCAGCAGCCGCGGUAAUACGGAGGGUGCAAGCGUUAUCCGGAUUCACUGGUGUGUAAGGGGGGGUAGGCGUGAGAUGAGAAAGCCUGUAGCUUAACUACAGAAUUGCCAUUGAUACUGAUUUUCUUGAAUUGGGUUGAGGUUAGCGGAAUGUGACAUGUAACGGUGAAAUGUUUAGAUAUGUCAUGGAACACCGAUUGCGAAGGCAGCUAGCUGGGCCUUGAUUGACGCUGAGGCACGAAAGCGUGGGUAGCGAACAGGAUUAGAUACCCUGGUAGUC
rnacentral:rRNA from 1 species